CCAGAACCAUCUUCGGACUGAAACCGUCUCUUCCAGAACCGGCCUGGUUAGAACCACGAUAUGAUAGGCAGAAAUGGACGGGCGACAAAUUCUGAGCAGCCUGGAGACAGAAGUUUGGUGCCGUGACCCGGAUCCUUCGACUGGACAUCCGAGGACGUCGACGAACAGCAUUUGGCCGACCUGGACUAAACUCCAGCCUCAAAGCUCGAUUUAAGAGAGGAGGGCUGUUGGUCGGCUCCACGGCUCCAGCACUGGGAUCAACGAACUCAAAACCAGUUAUCAGGUGGGAAACUCACUCAGGCUAACAAAUUAAUUUUACAAAUUCUAAAUUAUUAAAUCUAAAAUAGUUAAGGACCCGAUAAACCUUUCACCCUGGGGAAUAGAGAUUGACGGUGUUAAAGUUGGGUUAAAGUCCCAAAGGAAAAUAAUAAAAAAUGAAAUAAAAAUAUAUAAAAUAAACAGAAAAA